UUUUAAUUGGGGACUGGUAUGAAUGGUAUUAUAAAGAAGAGACUGUUUAAGGACAGAGUUUAAAAUUGAUUAUCAAGUUAAAAGGCUUGAGUAACAUGAAGUGACAAGAAGACCCUAUGAGUUUUAUAGUUAGGAGAUGUAUCAAUAAAAUGGCGUGUUUGUUUUGCAUUAGGUUCUAAUUGUUUGACUGGGGCGGUUGGAAUAAUUAUCUUUUCUGGUUAUUACUAAAUUAGCAGAAAUAAUUUAUAGAUUAUAUCCUCAUUGGAAGGCAUUAUAAAUUACCUUAGGGAUAACAGCAUAAUCUUCUUUGAGAGACCUUAUUGACAAGAAGGUUUGUGACCUCGAUGUUGGAUUUGAAUAACUAUAUGGAGCAGAAUUUUUAUAAGUUGGUUUGUUCAACCAUUAAAUCUCAACAUGAUUUGA
rnacentral:rRNA from 1 species